UGUAGCGCGACAGGCGGCUGGCGCCCAGCGUUGUCUUCCUGGGGAGGAGUGUGGGGAGCUGCUCUGGCGGGCCCGUUGCUGAUUGUUGGGCAUCACUCAAGACACCCUUGGGCUCCUCUUUCCAGCUGCGCUUGGUUCCUUUGGAAAGAAGUGCCACAUUCCUGGCAGUCAAUGAUCAGGAUUCUUUGGGAUCACAGAUGGGUGAUCUGUAAGCUCAGUUAUGGAGAAACCGAGGGGACUGAUGGAUUCUGAGUGAGAAACUGGACUUCGGGCAUGUUCAGAAUGUGAAAAUCUGCUGAUGUUUCCUCACCCUCCACUCCAGUGUGGUAUUUAGAGAAUAUCUAGAGGGGCCUGUGAAUAAACAUGGGCCAGGACGAAGAGCUCAGGCUUUACAUUGAGCCACCCCAUGACUACAAGGACCCCUGUUAAGGGAGGUGUUGCUGUCCAUGGACUAUGAGCGGGACAUAAUCCAGGAACUUUCAAUGGGCCAGAAGCACAGUGACGCAAUGGCCGGCUUCACCGAGCAGUGCCUGGGCUGCUCUCCACACCUGGGGAAGCUUCAGAGACUACACUAUCCCUGGGCACUGCUCCCUUCCCCUAAUCUUUUCUGUUUGUGAGGGAGAGUAUAUGGUUCUUGCAAAGUAUUUGGUUCUUCCAAAUCUUAAAGUAAAAUGGCUGCUCCACAAAGAUAUAUUCCAGACGCUCUGUUUUCCGUCAUCCCUGAAUAAAAUCGGGACCAUGUGUGCUGCAGCCUGAUAAGCUUGUAAUCAUGUUGUACUUGGAGUCAGGCUAUGGAGAAAAUAACAAGAGUUAUCACAGAAACCCCCAGCAACAACAACUGUAGUACCAAAGGGAC